GGCAAACCGCCAAAGGCAGCCUGCUUGGGGCGGCAAAAACCCUAGAGCUGCCCCUGCUGCCAGCCAUAUUUGGGUGGGGUGUAGCUUCUUCUAAAAAUCCAACAAUGCAUGCCCCACUUUUGAGUUGUGUCCUCCUUUAAGGGCCCAAUGGAUUCUGCUAAGGCCAGAAGUAGGAUCAAACUUCAAGGAGAAGGGGUUGUUCUAGGCUUUGUGCCCCACCCCCACAAAACCCAGUAGCAAAUACUAACGAAUUAUUGUUAUUGUAAAGGUAGAGCCUGUUAUCUUGUAUAGGAAGGUGUCCCCAUUUGCUUCAAUUUCCCUUGAGGAAAUACAGCAGUUUACCUCUCUCUCUAUUGCAGAAGCUUUUGUUCAGAUGAGAAACAAAACAUCAAAUCAGGCUUCCCCUCCCCCCCCCCCCCCGACACAUAGUGUACUGAUUUACUCCCUCGUGGUUUGGGGUUUCACGGAGGGUAUUUUUUGUUGUUUUUAAUUUA